CGGGCUUCGGCCUGGUGGCGAGUGGCGAACGGGUGAGUAAUACAUCGGAACGUGCCCUGUAGUGGGGGAUAACUAGUCGAAAGAUUAGCUAAUACCGCAUACGACCUGAGGGUGAAAGCGGGGGACCGCAAGGCCUCGCGCUACAGGAGCGGCCGAUGUCUGAUUAGCUAGUUGGUGGGGUAAAAGCCUACCAAGGCGACGAUCAGUAGCUGGUCUGAGAGGACGAUCAGCCACACUGGGACUGAGACACGGCCCAGACUCCUACGGGAGGCAGCAGUGGGGAAUUUUGGACAAUGGGGGCAACCCUGAUCCAGCAAUGCCGCGUGUGUGAAGAAGGCCUUCGGGUUGUAAAGCACUUUUGUCCGGAAAGAAAUGGCUCUGGUUAAUACCCGGGGUCGAUGACGGUACCGGAAGAAUAAGCACCGGCUAACUACGUGCCAGCAGCCGCGGUAAUACGUAGGGUGCGAGCGUUAAUCGGAAUUACUGGGCGUAAAGCGUGCGCAGGCGGUUUUGUAAGACAGGCGUGAAAUCCCCGAGCUCAACUUGGGAAUGGCGCUUGUGACUGCAAGGCUAGAGUAUGUCAGAGGGGGGUAGAAUUCCACGUGUAGCAGUGAAAUGCGUAGAGAUGUGGAGGAAUACCGAUGGCGAAGGCAGCCCCCUGGGACGUCACUGACGCUCAUGCACGAAAGCGUGGGGAGCAAACAGGAUUAGAUACCCUGGUAGUCCACGCCCUAAACGAUGUCAACUAGUUGUUGGGGAUUCAUUUCUUCAGUAACGUAGCUAACGCGUGAAGUUGACCGCCUGGGGAGUACGGUCGCAAGAUUAAAACUCAAAGGAAUUGACGGGGACCCGCACAAGCGGUGGAUGA
rnacentral:rRNA from 1 species